rnacentral:rRNA from 1 species
UACGGAGGGGGCGAGCGUUAUUCGGAUUUAUUGGGCGUAAAGGGCGCGUAGGCGGCUUUUUAAGUCAGAUGUGAAAGCCCGGGGCUUAACCCCGGAAGUGCAUUUGAAACUGAGAGGCUUGAGUAUGGGAGAGGGAAGUGGAAUUCCUGGUGUAGAGGUGAAAUUCGUAGAUAUCAGGAGGAACACCGGUGGCGAAGGCGACUUCCUGGACCAAUACUGACGCUGAGGCGCGAAGGGGUGGGGAGCAAACAGG